AUUUGAAAUCUGGCCCCCAGGGCCCGAGUUGUAAUUUGCAGAGGAUGCUUUUGGCGCGGUGCCUUCCGAGUUCCCUGGAACGGGACGCCAUAGAGGGUGAGAGCCCCGUCUGGUCGGACGCCUAGCCUGUGUAAAGCUCCUUCGACGAGUCGAGUAGUUUGGGAAUGCUGCUCUAAAUGGGAGGUAUAUGUCUUCUAAAGCUAAAUACCGGCCAGAGACCGAUAGCGCACAAGUAGAGUGAUCGAAAGAUGAAAAGCACUUUGAAAAGAGGGUUAAAUAGUACGUGAAAUUGUUGAAAGGGAAGCGCUUGUGACCAGACUUGGGCCCGGUGGAUCAUCCAGCGUUCUCGCUGGUGCACUCCGCCGGGUUCAGGCCAGCAUCAGUUCGCCGCGGGGGAAAAAGGCUUCGGGAACGUGGCUCCUACGGGAGUGUUAUAGCCCGUUGCAUAAUACCCUGGGGCGGACUGAGGUUCGCGCUCCGCAAGGAUGCUGGCGUAAUGGUCAUCAGCGA
rnacentral:rRNA from 1 species